rnacentral:rRNA from 1 species
AGUGAACGUUGGCGGCGUGGAUUAGGCAUGCAAGUCGAGCGAGAACCGUAGCAAUACGGGGACAGCGGCGAAAGGGACAGUAAUGUGUAGGUACCUACCCCCGGGUUCGGGAUAGCUGCGGGAAACUGCAGGUAAUACCGAAUAAUGUCUCCGGACCAAAGGUGUGAUUCCACCUGGGGAGGGGCCUGCAUCCUAUUAGCUUGUUGGUGGGGUAACGGCCUACCAAGGGGACGAGGGGUAGCGGGUGUGAGAGCAUGACCCGCGUCAUUGGGAGUGAACCACUGCCAAGCCCCCUACGGUGGCUGCAGUCGAGAAUCUUCGGCAAUGGGCGCAAGCCUGACCGAGCGACGCCGCGUGCGGGAUGAAGGCCUUCGGGUUGUAAACCGCUGUCGUAGGGGAGGAAAUGCAGGAGGGUUCUCCCUCUUGUUUGACCUAUCCUAGGAGGAAGUACGGGCUAAGUUCGUACCAGCAGCCGCCGCCG